CCUACGGGAGGCAGCAGUGGGGAAUAUUGCACAAUGGGCGAAAGCCUGAUGCAGCGACGCCGCGUGGGGGAUGACGGCCUUCGGGUUGUAAACCUCUUUCAGCUAUGUGAAGAAGCGAUGAGUGACGGUACUUGCUGAAGAAGCGCCGGCUAACUACGUGCCAGCAGCCGCGGUAAUACGUAGGGUGCGAGCGUUGUCCGGAAUUAUUGGGCGUAAAGAGCUCGUAGGUGGCUUGUCGCGUCUGCCGUGUAAUCUUGAGGCUUAACCUUGGGCGUGCGGUCGGUACGGGCUGACUUGAGUGUGGUAGGGGAGACUGGAACUCCUGGUGUAGCGGUGAAAUGCGCAUAUAUCAGGCGGAACACCCCUGGCGAAGGCAGGUCUCUGGGCCCUUACUGACACUGNGGAGCGAAAGCGUGGGUAGCGAACAGGAUUAGAUACCCUGGUAGUCCAUGCCGUAAACGUUGGGCACUAGGUGUGGGGGACAUUCCACGUUUUCCGCGCCGUAUCUAACGCNUUAAGUGCCCCGCCUGGGGAGUACGGCCGCAAGGCUAAAACUCAAAGGAAUUGACGGG
rnacentral:rRNA from 1 species